UCAUCCUACGGGACGCAGCAGUGGGGGAUAUUGGACAAUGGGGGAAACCCUGAUCCAGCGAUGCCGCGUGAGGGAAGAAGGUUUUCGGAUUGUAAACCUCUGUGGAGGGGGACGAUAAUGACGGUACCCCUUUAGGAAGCCACGGCUAACUACGUGCCAGCAGCCGCGGUAAUACGUAGGUGGCAAGCGUUAUCCGGAUUUACUGGGUGUAAAGGGAGCGUAGACGGCUGCGCAAGUCAGAAGUGAAAGCCCGGGGCUCAACCGCGGGACUGCUUUUGAAACUGUAUAGCUAGAGUGCAGGAGAG
rnacentral:rRNA from 1 species